ACAGGUUCUAAAAGGCUGUUUCACUUAAAAGUGGACAGAUAGAAUCUGGUCCAGGUGGUUCAAGCCUACUAAGAAAAAGGAACGAUUCAAGCUGUCCUUUACACUAGGCUUAGAUGUUCAUGAACAGAUUUUUUUCACCUGCAUGAGUGUCCGUUGAGAUGUUUGAAUGUUGGGGAAGACACGGAAUGAUCCAACGGUCCUCAGGAGAGUCAGAGGAAUGUGCCUAGGGGGAAGACUCACCUGCCGUCGCUGGCUUUGAAGACAGAGGACAGGGACAAGAGCCUCUAGAAGUUGGAAAAGACAAGGGGUCAGAAUCUCCCCUCGAGCCUCCAGGAGGGAUGAAACCCCACCAACACCUUGAUGGGAGCCCAGUAAGAUCCACUCCGGCUUCUGGCCUCCAGAACCGUUAAGACAAUAAAUUUGUGUCAUUUAAGCCACUAA